CGCCUCGCACCCAGCUCCUCCCCAAUCCCCUCCCGUUCUUCUCAUGGCGCAUCUGGCGGCGCCGCUCCACCUCCCUGGCUGCCCACCCUUCUCCUUCUCCCACUCCCCAUCUCCAACCCCCAGCCCCCGCGCUGCUCUGCCUCCCUCGACGGCCACCGGCCAGCAGGAGUAGCGCACGCCGGCGCAAGCAGGAGGGGCUGCUGGAGCUCCGCCCUUGAUGGUGAUGGCGGACUCGAGCUCACGCCGGUGACCUCCACAGGAGCAGCGCGAGCGACCUCCACAGCGGCAGCGUGAGCGACCUUCCUGGCCGCGUUUCUGGAGGCAGAGGACGGCGCAGCUCCACCACCUCGCCCGCAGGCUGCUGCCGCGCGACAUAAGUAGAUGGCAGCCCAAGGCCGAUCGUGCCUCUUCCGUCCAAAUCAGGGAAGAAGAGGACUCACAUAGGGAGAUGGAUUUGGGGAAGAAAAAGAGGAGGACGCCAACCAUCUGGUGCGGAUCUCUUCCAGUGUCUAGCCCUCCUCUGCCUCUACUUUUCAGCUACUUCCUCUCCUCUCUCUCUCUCUCAGUUUGGAGACAGAUAAAGGGUCAAGGACUAAGUAUUGAGAAAAGCCACAAGAAGGGGAUUUGUAGGAUGAACGUGACCACUAGCAUAUGAUGAUGAUUCUGGUGCACACUACAUGUUUGAUGAAAUGCAGUAUAUGCAAGGGGAGUUGUCCAACAAUGUUGACUGUUCCCUACAUAAAUUAGGAAACAUACCAAGUACCACAGUGCGUGUAGUCCUAGGCCUCUACGAAGGCGCUCCUCAGGCUGCUCGAGUGCAUUCUGCAGUGGUGAGGUUGACAUCCUGGUCUGGGGCGACUACCACGACAGCGUGCCACGUCCCUGCAGGCACGUUGGGCAGCAACAUUUUCCACAGGUGAUGGAGAUGGUGGCUUGGGGUCCAUGUUCACGGGCUUGGUUGACGAGAACACCGUCAUGCCCGACACUGGUCACAACCAUGGCCAUCAAGAAGCUCAAAUAGGACCGCUUACACGAUGCUGAUGAUGAGACCACUGUCGUGCUGGCCAGCCCUGACACCGGGAUGGUAAUCUUCAUGAAGCAGCUCAAAUAGGAAGGCCUCCAUAGUGCAGGUGUUGACUUCUCGGUGUAGCUGUUGCCAUGCGGCUACAUCUGCACUACACUUGAUAGCAAAAAGGAAACAUAUACCAUGCAUCUGUGUUGUUUUGGAAAUCAUGACAUAAAGGGUUACACUGUACUUUGGCUAGCUUCUUAAUUACUCUUGAUUUACAUAUGGAUGAACUAAUAGGUGAUUCAUGGAUUUGUAUUUCCAGUUAUAUGCUUUCAAAGAAGGAAAGCCUAACUGAGCAUGGAGAAAGAUUUUGAAUAAUCUAUCUGCCAUAUCAUGAAUGUGUUAAAUGUGAAAUAUAUUUAUUUUAUAGGUCUAAAUUCAAUAGAGCAUUUUAUAUAAUUCUACAACUCUUAAUUUUUUGUGGCAAGGUACCAACAAAGCAACAUCUUGGUUCCAGUGUACAUGCAGCAACUUAAUUCCAAUGUUUAUUAUAGGCUGGCUUGGUGAGAUGGGCAUGCCCUUUGUCUGGUCGCCCUGCUCCGCCUCAAGUGGCCUCCCACACUGUGUUCAGCCCUGGUUCGUCAUGGUCAUGUAAGACAUGGAUUUCUGCUGCUUGGUUCAUGGCCUCUUUGUAACAAGAAAUGAGUGGUAUGGCCAAUCUUUGUAUCACAACUCUUGAUUGAAGCCACCAAAAUAAUGAUGUUUUCUGCUAUAUUCGUAUGGUACAUAUAAAUAGUUUAUCUAUUUUUUUAUCUUCAAAGCCAGUAAAUGUCAACUGUGUCCGGUCUACUGACUGAUUGUUUUAUAUAACUAUGCUUCAGUCAAUGCAAAAUAAAAUUCUUACUUGAUAGUUGGCCUCUGAAUAAUCUGAAUGUUAUAUAGUGGCGAACUCCAAAAAUUUGGGUUGCCUCUGUAUUAAUCAGUGUCAUUUCACCAAGUAUGCUUUUUCACCUGUAUUGGUAUUUUUCCUAGGUGUUUGAGUUGCAGUAAGUUGGUUUUCCUCAUUCUUGAAUUUAUUUUCCGCCAUUCAUACCUCUUGGUGCCUAUAUUUUUCCAGGUUACUAUAGGAAAAAGGCCUGGGGUAUCCUUUUUGUAGCUACAGUGAUCACCAUCAUAUGGGUUACCUCAUUAUGCCUUUCUUUGUUUAUGUGAAUCUCUUUGUAUUUGAAUUGGUUACUCUCCAAUUAGGCAAAUCAUGAUACUAAAACUUGCCGGAUGCAUGGUAUAUAGCCUUGCACAUAUAUUUACUUCCUGGAUUUCUCUUUGCUGCAAUUGGGUGUUUCAACUGGGUUUGCUUUGAGUGUCAAGUGUUAAUGACCUUGCUGAUACUUUAUCCAAUGAGGAGGUUGAAUCUACAAUCAGUUUUGCUUUCCCUGCUACUCUCUGUUUGUGAAUAAAAUGCCUUUGCUUCCUCUACUUUGCAUGUACAUCUUAUAAACUUGGCACCGUAUAAUCGAGUUAAGUAUGAACCCUGUUUUGGAGGUUGCAUUCAUACAAAUUUAACACACGGUGCAAUGAGACAUUUAACAAUCAGUAACAUAUGAGGCAAAACCUGAUGUCUAUUCAUGUUUCAAUUCGAAAUACAAGUGUUCUUCUUUUAAAAGUUGAUUUGGCCAUUAAAAGGAAACUGCGGUUCAACUUUAUCAAUAAAUCAAAAAUAUUUCUAUUUUUUGAGGGAUGCGAUGGUUUUUACUCUUAGGAUAAAAAUACAUAACACAUGUUCUACAUCUAUGUUCUGUUCUGCAGAUAUCGUGGAGAGAAGGGGCAUGUUUACAACUUGGCAGUCCAAAUGACCUUGAUUGGAAACUACUUUCAGUUUUCUUAGAAGUCUGCUUUCCCUGCUAUCCUCUCUCUCAGUUUUCUUAGCUAUCUUCUCUCUCAGUUUUCUUAGAAGUCUGAUUCCCUGCUAUCCUCUCUCUCUGAAUAAAUUUCCUUUGCUUGAUCAGCUCACAUCUUUAUUUUAUAAGUUUUUCCUGUUUCUAAUCAAUGUACAUAUAUAGAUACUAUGUUUGUCUUUUAUGCGACGACAAAAUUAAUUGUUGACUGCAUCUAUGUCAGUGGUCUUCUGUCAGUACGGAGUCAACAGGUUGAGGCAGCAUAGCGGUGUCUGACACUUCUUUACAUAGGCUGGUCACAUCGUUUCCAAAGUUUUCGAGUAACACACAUUUUCCCAAAUUAAACCAUCGAAUGCAUGUGAGAGUAGAAUGCAUAGGUCUAUGAAAAUUUGAUUUGCUCAAAAUAAUUAUAGGUUACUAAGCUGCUACUAUUAGAAUUUGAGUUGAGGCAUAGAAAGAACUGAACUUUGUUUAUAGGGCUUUCUAUCAUCAUUUGACGGUUUGAGACCUUUCAUAUAUGCACAAAAAUUAAUAUCUUAGAUUUAAUUUGUAGUUGAAAAAAACGUGGCAAAGGUGUCAUUCAUAGAUUAGUUAAAGAAAAGUAAAUAUUGAAAUCAUUAACCUUUUUCUAUGCCUAACCUUACUUUGUUUCCACGCCUAGGUUGUAUACAUAACAUAUGAUGGUUAUGCGUAUUUAGGGCUUAACAGGUUUUGUUCAUAAAGCCUUAGUGCAUAUAUUUGUUGGUUUGACUGUUUUGUCUUAUGCUUUGUGUUUUCUCAUCUCACCAUGCAUGUAUUGAUGGACCUGUACUUUUUUCUAUUUUGGAAAGACACUCGUGAGGAUGACGUCUGCCCAGAUGAGGAGGAAUGAAGAAACCUCGAGCCUGACGGGUUCCCCACAAUGCUCUUCUACCCAGCUCGGAAGAAAAUCUUUGAGCGUGUUUGUUCUUAAAUAUAGUAUUUCACAUCCUAUUUAGGGGUGCGUCUGAUAAUAUGUUUUUUCUUUCAGUUGGUAGAAAUAACAUCGCCCGCACAUGGCUUCUCAGCAGUGCUACCAUCUAAAUUUGCAUCUACCGAAUUGUCUCUGGACUCCUGAAACUAGCAUAAAACAUGCAUGCUCAAGUUCAGUGCAUAUUUCAAAGCUGCCAAUCAAUAACUUUUGACGGGGACCGACUGGUGGUGGAGAUAUCAAGUUCAUCAAGAGGCAUGCCGAUAUCCUUCUGAGGUUGAAGUGUAAUGUUGCAAGAAAUACCAGCUGACAUGAUCAAGGCCCUCUCUUACUAUGUGAUGGCUCCAGAAUACUCCUGCUGUCAUACCUUCGUGUUUUCUUUCUAAUAUCGUUUACUCAUGCUGCUCAUGUGAUACUAAUAUUAUUGCCCCUGGUCUCUCAUUGUUGUAUUUCUUUUAAGAAAAGCUUUUGGUAGACAAGAUGCUGAUAUACCUGAGAUACAUAUUGCAUCCAUUUCCACAUUAGUAGUCAGACUUCAGUAAAAUGUCCAUUAUCUACUUUCUUCCAAUUUAAGCUAUAAUAUUUAAGAAUGACUUUACAAUUUUUUUUUAGAUUACAAACCAUUGAUGCUGGGGAACAAAGCGUGCAUAAUAAAUAAAUUCACGCGGUGGAAGGAAAACACAAGAUAUGUUGUCAGGGAUAUGCCAUGGAGAGACUCCUGAGGUGGCCACCGCAUCCUAGCAGCAACAGCCUAGGAUGGAGAUCCAUUUAGGUGGCCCUCACCACUAUCGGCCUGCGAUGAAGAUCUGUGUAGACCACCUGUUCAAGCCACGACAGCCUGUCAUGGAGCCACCCGUAGGUGGGCACGACAUCCCUACGAACGCUACUGGCAUAUGUUGGUGAAUACAAAAUGUAGAAGCAACUGAAUGGAAUACUGUUGGUGACUCUAAAUUUGUGAAAGGAAAUGAUUAGUUUUAGCAUUUGUUUUGGUCAACGCCAUUGCUGCCGCUGAUGUUGUGUUUGUAAUCAGAGGUGUUCUGUUCCUGAUCUUACUACAGUUUGGGUUAGGCUUAUGAUAUACGACUGACAAUUUUUACACAUGGUACAUGCUACUUCGGCCCCA